UUCACCACAGCAGGCUUUGCCGCAGCAGCUCUUCUCCCAGGUGAUGUCCUGGUCGAAGUCCGAGAAGCCUUCACCGGCUUGGCAGCGGGCUUGGCCUUCGUAGCAGGCUUUGCCUUAGCGGGAGCUGCUUUCCCCUUAGCGGGAGCAGGUUUCGCCUUAGCGGGAGCAGGUUUCGCCUUAGCUGCCGGCUUCGCCUUGGGAGCAGGCCUAGGCUUACGUUUGGGAGGCAAAAGCGUCACCGGUGCAGGAUGCACAAUAGCAGCACGUCUGGGAGCCGGCUUAGCCUUAGCAGCUGGCUUAGCUUUAGCAGCUGGCUUA
rnacentral:lncRNA from 1 species